CCAACACGCCCUAUAAAAGACCAUCUCAGCUAGAGCAAACGAAGCAAGAGAGAACAAGUAAGUGUGCUACUGUGUGCAAGUGUGCUAGUGUGUGCAAGUGUGAUUUCAGUUUCUACAAUCAAACAUGUUGAUCCGGUGAUAAUCCAAGAGGGCCCACAUCCAAGGAAGUUCAACGCUUAGGUGGUCGUCAAAGUUAAGAGGUGGUCAGCUAAGGGACUAGCUAAGCCGAAGUCCCUACAAGUCGGUCGGCCAGAAGAGUUCAGCGAUCGGCCAGAAGAGUUCGCUGAAGGUGGGUCAAGCCUACAACCCGAUCGGCCGGAAGAAUUCAAGAAGGGUUGGUUGAGCCUACAACGCACUGAGACCAAAGGCACUCACGUCACUCGGCUUAUAUAUACUCGUAAGAGGUUAGGGAAUUGGCUGGCCAGGUCGAUCAAGGGAAGUUCAAUCAGACUAACGGCCGACAAAUCAGACGGGGGAUACGUGCCAACAUCCUUUUGGGAGUCUAUGCCGCUGGCUGACGGCGUUGAUGAACAGAAAAUCGUACGGGAGAAGAUUCCGCCGCCUUGACAGGGAUGCGUUCGCCCCGUUAUAGUAAGAUGUCAGGGACCAUUUCUCGAUGUUAGCUUUUGGGGAAAGUUUGGGAUUGCGCGUUUGCCCAGGAAGUGUGCAGUCAGCCCGCCGAAGCUCUAUAUAAGGAGGGAGGUGGUCAUCCGCGGAGGAGCAGAGCGCCUUCACCGCAGACGAAGACCUACAUCAGCGUUAUUUCCUGGUGGCCAUCUACUCAGCUUCAGAGUAGGGUCACAUGUUAUAGAAAUUAUUGUAGGACCAUUGCGGCCGGCUAGAAGGGGUUGUUGGUUAGUCCUGUAAAGACAAAAGGCAAACAACCCUUCUCAAAAUCUUUA